rnacentral:rRNA from 1 species
GAUGAACGCUGGCGGCGUGCUUAACACAUGCAAGUCGAACGGAAAGGCCCUGAUCUUGUGGGGUGCUCGUUAGGCGCACGGGUGAGUAACACGUGAGUAUCCUGCCCUUGACUUUGGGAUAACUUCAGGAAACUGCGGCUAAUACCGGAUAGGAGCUAUUGCUGCAUGGUGGUGGUUGGUAAGUUUCGGCGGUUGGGGCUGGACUCGCGGCUUAUCCGCUUCAUGGUGGGGUAGUGGCUUUCCAAGGUUAUGACGGGUAGCAGGCGUGAGAGGGUGACCGGCCACAUUGGGACUGAGAUACGGCCCAGACUCCUACGGGAGGCAGCAGUGGGGAAUAUUGCACAAUGGGCGGAAGCCUGAUGCAGCAACGCCGCGUGCGGGAUGACGGGCUUCGGGUGGUAAACCGCUUUCGCCUGUGACGAAGCGGGAGUGACGGUAAUGAGUAAAGAAGCACCGGCUAACUACGUG